rnacentral:ncRNA from 2 species
UUGGAAGAAAAUUAGAAAAUCUUAGUAUGCCUGUAUACACACAGUGAUGAUCUGCCAUGGAAGGCAGAUCAAGGCUUCACGAGCCAUGGAUGGCUCGUUGAACGCCGUUCACGUCACUCCGGCAUAACCUGAAUCAGGUAUACUUAGGUUUUUCUUAUUUUCGCAC